UACAGAGGGUGCAAACGUUGCUCGGAAUUAUUGGGCGUCAAGCGCACGUAGGCGGCAUCGUAAGUCUGAUGUGAAAGCCCUGGGCUCAACCCAGGAAGUGCAUUGGAUACUGCGAAGCUUGAAUCUGGAAGAGGGUCGCGGAAUUCCCGGUGUAGAGGUGAAAUUCGUAGAUAUCGGGAGGAACACCAGUGGCGAAGGCGGCGACCUGGGCCAAGAUUGACGCUGAGGUGCGAAAGCGUGGGGAGCAAACAGG
rnacentral:rRNA from 1 species